rnacentral:rRNA from 1 species
UCAAGAAACUUCCACAAUGGGCGAAAGCCUGACCCAGCAACGCCGCGUGAAGGAUGAAGUAUUUCGGUAUGUAAACUUCGAAAGAAUAGGAAGAAUAAAUGACGGUACUAUUUAUAAGGUCCGGCUAACUACGUGCCAGCAGCCGCGGUAAUACGUAGGGACCAAGCGUUGUUCGGAUUUACUGGGCGUAAAGGGCGCGUAGGCGGCAAUUCAAGUCAUCUGUGAAAUCUCCGGGCUUAACUCGGAACGGUCAGAUGAUACUGCUUUGCUAGAGUGCAGAAGGGGCAAUCGGAAUUCUUGGUGUAGCGGUGAAAUGCGUAGAUAUCAAGAGGAACACCUGAGGUGAAGACGGGUUGCUGGGCUGACACUGACGCUGAGGUGCGAAAGCGUGGGGAGCAAACAGGAUUAGAUACCCUUGUAGUCCCUGAGCGGGCUGGCAAGGCGCAU